GACACCCAAUUUUUGGUUUGGAUGGUUGGGUUUUUUGCUUUGAUAAUCCCUCCUGCAGGAAUAUUUAAAGGAUGAGUUAAAAGUGUCAAAAUUUUUAUUAUUCGUCAGCAGGUUAUCCUCUUCAUUAGCUAUUAUGUCUCAUGCGUACUUGUUUGCUUCUAGGAAGCUCAUUUUAAAUGACAUGUCUCUGGUUUUGUUCAUUACUUUAAUUAAAAUAAGCACCCUGCGAUUGUUAGAGCUAAGUUUUUAUCUUAAUCUUUUACCCUUUCAUUUGUUUAUAAAUACCAAUUUCUUCAGUGUCCUAGUGAGGCUUUUCAGUCAGUGUUUAGUGCUGUGUAUCCAGAAGUCUGAUUAUGGGAUAAUAAAAGACUGAUUUCUACACUGCCUUAUAGAACUCAUAUAGAACUCAUAUAGAACUCUAUACUGCUUUGUAGAACUCAUUAAAUUUGGAGAUGAAACAGGCUGUCAGCAAGUCUGCUUGUUGCAGUUCUCUUAGAGAAGUUGGAGGUAGUCUUUUCUAUCAGAAUGCUGCAAUACCACUUCAAUUCUAGUAGCAAGUUGGUGCAAAAGAGUAAUGACUAAAUCCAUCAUCUGAGGAGCCUGGGGGGAAGAUGAGUUUAAAACAAUUCAGACUCAGCCACAAAGUCUGUAUGAAAAUUGUGGCCCACAAGCCUGGACAAGCAGCAUCGGGGGACCCAAGAACCAGCCAGCAGGUCCAGAUUGGUGGAUGCCCACUCUAAAAUACAAUGAUCUCCAUAUCCUUCCUUCUCCUCUCCUCAAAACUCCUGAAGCAGACGUAAGGUCCACCAAGCACCUCCCCUCCCCAAAAAUCCACAAAGCUAUCAUUUGUCAUGAGGGGAAAGGUCAAGAGAAGAACACUGUCCUAUAUCCACUCUCUUUGUUGGACCAAAAAGAUGGGUUGAUGGCAGGCAAACACUUCCCCUCCCAGAGUGACCCAGUACACCUCAGGAAAGAAACAGUGAGCAGGCUGUGCUUCUGAACACUUCAAGGCAGCUCAACAUUGGACUCUUUUUGUCCCAAAAUCUACAGUUUCUGCUUUUCCUUCCUUUCCCAUUGUUGUAGACAUGAAAAAGCAUCUGUGAAAUGUCUGUGCUUUGACAUUUCUGAGGUAAGUUUCCAGCUCUUCUAGCAGCAGUUAGGUAUGUAUCUGGCAAUUUGGACUGGGGGGAAGGUUUGAGAUUGGUUUGAUUUGUUUUUUUUCUUAAACUUCCAUUGAACUGUGCUGCGGGUUUGCAAAUUUCUCUCAAUGGCAUACACGUUCUUUCCUGAACAUUUUUCUCCAGUCUAUGUGACUUGAAAAAGUGCUUAAUGAAAUAGUCUUCUGUGCCUGCACCAUAAACACAUGUUAGCCCUAGAGAAACUAAAAAGAGGUGAGCCACUUUGUUCUCUGCACAGCUUAUCUCAAGACAUCCCUCUCUGCCUUGUCCCUCUCUACAAUCUUCACCACCAGCCUAAAUAUUCAGGUGCAGACAUCCUAUCUGUGAUUAUCUCCAGCUGUGGACAUGAAGAAUCUGAGUGAAGGCAUUUGGCAUCCUCUCAGCAUGUGGCCUGUGAUUCUCCUCGUUUCUUGAGCUCUCUGGCUCAGACUAACCAACAGAGCCAUAACUGCCCUACAGCAUGGCAUAGCCCUCGGUGCUAGCAACAAAACUGAGUGCCAAAUUCCUGCUUUCACUUGGUAACCUUGCUGGAAAGCCAUAGUGCUUUAAACAGUUAA